GACGAACGCUGGCGGCGUGCUUAACACAUGCAAGUCGAGCGGCGCGGCGCACGGGUGAGUAACGCGUGAGUAACUGCCCCCCUCCCUGGGAUAACAGAUAGAAACGGCUGCUAAUACCGGAUAGUGGGGGAUGACUCGGGGCCUAUCAGCUUGUUGGUUGGGUAGUGUCAUACCAAGGCGACGACGGGUAGCCGGCCUGGGCGGGGGACCGGCCACAUUGGUCUGAGGUACGGCCCAAACGCCUACGGUGGGCAGCAGUGGGGAAUAUUGCACAAUGGGGGAGACCCUGUUGCAGCAACGCCGCGUGCGGGAUGACGGCCUUCGGGUUGUAAACCGCUUUCAGCCAUGACGCGGUAGUGGCAGAAGAAGCACCGGCUAACUACGUGCCAGCAGCCGCGGUAAUAC
rnacentral:rRNA from 1 species